rnacentral:misc_RNA from 1 species
UUUCCGUAGGUGAACCUGCGGAAGGAUCAUUAUCGAGGGGCUUCGGCCCCGAGAAGAUAGCACCCUUGUCCUUUUCGAGCACCGCACGUAUCCCCCGGCGGGUCCGCCCGCCGUUGGGGACAGAAACAAACCCUUUGUAGUAUCAGCAGUACCUGUCUGAGAAGAAGCCUUCGGGCAAAAAAAUCACAACUUUCAACAACGGAUCUCUUGGUUCUGGCAUCGAUGAAGAACGCAGC